UCAAGUACUGCGCGCAAGGACCG
rnacentral:miRNA from 1 species